AAUGAACGCUGGCGGGAUGCUUAACACAUGCAAGUCGAACGGCAGGGCGGACUUUGGGCGGGCGGCGCGUGGCGAACGGGCGAGUAAUGUAACGGAACGUGCCCAGCAGCGGGGGAUAACUACGCGAAAGCGUAGCUAAUAUUGCAGACGCCGUGCGGGGGAAACAAGGGGAUCGUUAGACCUUGCCGUCGUGGAGGGGUCGAUAGGGGACUAGCUAGUUGGUUAGGGGACGGCUCACCAAGGCGACGAUCCGUAGCUGGUUUGAGAGGGCGACCAGCCACACUGGAACUGAGACACGGCCCAGACUCCUACGGGAGGCAGCAGUGGGGAAUUUUGGACAAUGGGGGCAAACCUGAUCCAGCCAUCCCGCGUGUGCGAUGAAGGCCUUCGGGUUGUAAAGCCCUUUUGGCAGGUAAGAACCGACGCGGGCUAAUACCCCGUGGCACUGACGGUACCUGCAGAAUAAGCACCGGCUAACUACGUG
rnacentral:rRNA from 1 species